rfam:Streptomyces mobaraensis NBRC 13819 = DSM 40847 contig022, whole genome shotgun sequence.
ACCGGAUACACGCGGAUCGGCAGGAGCGGGAGACCCAGGCAAGACGGACCACGAUGGCGGUGGUCCUAGGGGUGAAGCCACAUGGUGGCCGGGCAACUUUGUCAGCCCGAACCCGACAGGUCAUCUUUCGCAGGCGGAUGACGAAGGGCUUA